CUCCAGUAGGGCCCAAGCCAGCCUGGAAGGAGGAGGCAGCCAGAGUGGCCACCACUGGUCUCUGCAGCAGAAGACCCCUUGCUGCCAGGCAGAUAGAUGUCUGACUUGGCCAUAUGGUGAUGAAGGCUGUGACACUCCUUGGAUAUCUUUCUGUGCUGUUUCAAAGAUUUAGACAAAGAGCAUGUCAAGUGCUAGAAGAGGAAAAGACAGCAGAUGGAGACCUCAACUGAGUUCUUGUGUGCAGGCUGUGUUGGUUGGACUGCAGGUUGUGAUGCUGCUGAUGGGCCCGCUUUCUCCAUUCAGGUUGAUGGCAGUGACAUUGGGAGGAGUAAUAGCGGCUGCUGCUGAAGGCAUUGUGAUUCUUGAGUUUGUCUUGUGGGCCUUCCUGGAAAGCUGCAAGUGCUUGAAAGAAAAGAGGAGCUGGAUCAAGUCUGCAAAUUCAGAAGGCAGGAGUUUCAAGUUGGACAGUUUUUUCUUUGUUCCAAAGCUGUUUGGAUCAGUUAAAAAUUGGACUUUCUAAAGAAAAAGAGCGGGUGUGUGUGUAUGUAAGAAUAUGUUAACUGUUUCUCUAAAUGUAUAUUUGCAUAAAUAUACUUAUAUAACUUGUUUUACUUUUAAUACUCUUGCAAAUUUGAUUGCUGUUUGGGCCUUUAAGAACCCAUGUGUUACACUAAGAAUAUCAAACAUGGAAUAAACAGUAUUUUAAAAAAUCUGUGGGACAUGCAUUCAUUGCAAAUGACUGAAUACAUUUUGCAAUCUGCAGCCAAAACUAUCUGUACACUUAAUUUAGAAGCAAGUUUAUUUCCAAGCUAAUGUUUUCAGGAUUAGGGUGAUAUGAGGUUCUGUAGGAAUAGCCUCUUACAAAAGCUAUGAAGGUUACCUCAUUUAAUACCACAAAGUAAUCUUAAACCAGUAUUAUUUUCCAUACUUGACAUUUUCCAUCAGAUAGUUAUUACUGGGAGAGAUAUUUUCAGUAUAGUUUUAAACACUUCCAUUCAUAAAACUAUAAAGAGCAACAAGUUGUUUCUGUCACAUGGGAUUCAUGGGUCAUUACAGAACUGCAAGAAUGAAUUAACCCACCUGGUGCAAGAAGCUGCCUCACCUUCCUUUACAUUCAGACUCAUAUACAGUAUGACGUUCAUACAAUACCCCCAUCAUUAUGACAUACCCAGGAGAAAUUUUAAAAUCUUUGAAGGCUUCUCCUCCUUAGUAUUCUCCUAAGGAGAUGUGGAAUUUCAUUCCUUCUUCUGACUUCCUACUGCAUAGCUUUUAUCAAUGUAUUGUUUAUUAUAUAUGAAACCAUAUUCUCCAUUUUUAAAAAGCUAGAUCUCUGUCAUCUAUUAGUCUCCCUGAACACCCUGGGGUAGCACAAGUUGUUCACUCUAGGACUGAAACAAUCAAUUAACCCCCUCAUCCACAAUGUGGCACUUCUGCCAUAUGCUGAGUUAAAUAAAUUAAAAAUGCUCAGGACAAAUUAGAUAACUCUGCAGGAUAGCAAAGCAAAUUGGCAGCCAUCAGAAAACAACUCUGAAAAGCCUUUGAAUUGCCACAAGGAUAUUUAAUUAACUAUUGUUGCCAGUGCUGUGAAAGUAGUAUGGAUGUGUAUGCAGGGAAUUCUUCUUUGAAUUUCUGCAAUGCCAUCUAGGAAAAAGGUUCACUACAAAGGCAUAUUUUAUUUACAUGUAUUUAAAAAGGUAGCUGUAGUCAGAUCUCUGAAUUUAUCACUUGUGUUUGCUUUACAUAAUAAACACCUUUCAUCUUUCAAAGCUUAAUAAAAUGUUUUAAAAU